GACGGAGGAUGCAAGUGUUAUCCGGAAUCACUGGGCGUAAAGCGUCUGUAGGUGGUUCGAAAGUCCACUGUUAAAAAUUGAGGCUUAACUUCAAAGAUGCCGUGGAAACUUUCAAACUAGAGUAUGGUAGGGGUAGAGGGAAUUUCCAGUGGAGCGGUGAAAUGCGUAGAUAUUGGAAAGACCACCGAUGGCGAAGGCACUCUACUGGGCCAUUACUGACACUGAGAGACGAAAGUCUAGGGGAGCAAAUGGG
rnacentral:rRNA from 1 species